rnacentral:rRNA from 1 species
UCCAGACUCCUACGGGAGGCAGCAGUGGGGAAUAUUGCACAAUGGGGGAAACCCUGAUGCAGCAACGCCGCGUGAGUGGAGAAGUCAUUCGUGAUGUAAAGCUCUCUCAGCAGGGAAGAAAAUGACGGUACCUGAGUAAGAAGCCCCGGCUAACUACGUGCCAGCAGCCGCGGUAAUACGUAGGGGGCAAGCGUUAUCCGGAUUUACUGGGUGUAAAGGGGGCGCAGACGGCAAUGCAAGCCAGGAGUGAAAGCCCGGGGCCCAACCCCGGGACUGCUCUUGGAACUGCAUGGCUGGAGUACAGGAGGGGCAGGCGGAAUUCCUAGUGUAGCGGUGAAGUGCGUAGAUAUUAGGAGGAACACCGGUGGCGAAGGCGGCCUGCUGGACUGUGACUGACGUUGAGGCCCGAAGGCGUGGGGAGCAAACAGGAUUAGAUACCCCAGUAGC